UACAGAGGUCUCAAGCGUUGUUCGGAUUCAUUGGGCGUAAAGGGUGCGUGAGGCGGCGUGGUAAGUCGGGGUGUGAAAUCUCGGAGCUUAACUCCGAAACUGCAUUCGAUACUGCCGUGCUUGAGGACUGGAGAGGAGACUGGAAUUUACGGUGUAGCGGUGAAAUGCGUAGAUAUCGUAAGGAAGACCAGUGGCGAAGGCGGGUCUCUGGACAGUUCCUGACGCUGAGGCACGAAGGCCAGGGGAGCAAACGGG
rnacentral:rRNA from 1 species